rnacentral:rRNA from 1 species
AUUGAACGCUGGCGGAAUGCUUUACACAUGCAAGUCGAGCGGCAGCGCGGGGCAACCUGGCGGCGAGCGGCGAACGGGUGAGUAAUGCAUCGGAACAUGUCCAUGUCGUGGGGGAUAGCCCGGCGAAAGCCGGAUUAAUACCGCAUACGCCCGAGAGGGGAAAGUGGGGGACCGCAAGGCCUCACGCGAUUGGGUUGGCCGAUGUCCGAUUAGCUUGUUGGUGAGGUAAAGGCUUACCAAGGCGAUGAUCGGUAGCUGGUCUGAGAGGAUGAUCAGCCACACUGGGACUGAGACACGGCCCAGACUCCUACGGGAGGCAGCAGUGGGGAAUUUUGGACAAUGGGGGCAACCCUGAUCCAGCCAUUCCGCGUGAGUGAAGAAGGCCUUCGGGUUGUAAAGCUCUUUUGUCCGGAGCGAAACGGUCACGGUGAAUAUCCGUGACUACUGACGGUACCGGAAGAAUAAGCACCGGCUAACUACGUGCCAGCCGCCGCAGUAA